ACAGCCUGGGGCACCAAGAUGGAGUCACAGACCCAGGUCUUCAUAUUCCUGCUCCUCUGGAUGUCUGGUGCUGAUGGAAGCAUCAUGAUGACCCAGUCUCCUGAAUUCAUGUCCACAUCUGUUGGAGACAGAAUCACCCUAAGCUGCAAGUCCAGUCAGAGUGUGAGGAGUUAUGUAGCUUGGUACCAGCAGAAACCAGGGCAGCCUCCUAAACUGCUGAUCUACAGGGCAUCCACUCGAUACACUGGGGUCCCUGAUCGCUUCGCAGGCAGUGGAUCUGGGACAGAUUUCACUCUCACCAUCAGCAGUGUGCAGGCUGAAGACCUGGCAGUUUAUUACUGUCAGCAGUAUGACUAUACUCCUCCCACA